ACAUGGUGUUAAUCGCGCUUGGAGGUGAAAUUUCUUUCAUCUUUGAAGUGAAAAUCAACAACGAAAUCCUCAACAUCAACGAGCGUAACAAUACUGACCAAAAGCAAUAGCGAUCAUCUGCGUAUCUUCCGCGAACAAUAACACAUCACACAGUCUAGCGAAGGUACAUAUAUUCAAUGCGCGCACUAUGAAGAACGAUAAACAAAUCCAAAAAGGCACCAAGUUCAAAAUUAUGAUACAACCAUUACGGAGGAGCUGUAUGUGUUUCUGGACAUGAGAAAUAAUGCUUCAUACCCUGAAGUAGUUAAAUUUACCUUUCGCAUGGGUAGCUGGCGUUCGUCGUAGCAUCGUUAGUACGGAACGGCACAGUCCGUUGAGGCCAUUGUAUGGCAACCAGUCAAGGGUUAAGGUCACGAGAUCCACUGUUUCACCUGCUGGGACGAAACCGUUAAACCGAAAGGUUUCUGAUUUGGCAACGGGGCGAACCUAGUGUUAAGCUACAUAGGUACACGGCAUACGCCAUUGGGAUUAAUCGGAGAAUUCUGUUCGCGAAGCAACGCUAAAUACGUCGUCGGUCAGCGGAAGAAUGGCCAGUUAAUAUGGUUCAUUGAUGACCACCCAUUGAAGGUUAUUCAGUUCGGUCCCAUGAUGAUGCUACCUUAACGAAGUCGCCGAAUACAGGAACCGAAUGCGGAGAAACUAGCAAAACUAGUUUUAAAUAACUCUCUUUAACACUGGCGAUAAAUAAGUGAAAGUCGAUUGUAUGUAGAAGUCGAAGCUAAUUUAUACAUUUUGAUCUACUCAUUUCAACCUCGAACGUUACUCAUCUUAAUUUAAUUCAAUUUUCUCAAUAACGAUAUGAUGUUCUGUAUGUAGAUGGCCAGCGAAUCGCUGGGGAAACUGCGACACGAUUACUCGGUUUGUUUCUUUUUAGUUUUCGGGAGGCGAACUUAUAAACUCAGUUUAUCUUUGUUUACGUAAAAUGCCCAAUAUCGGAUUUCGCUAGGUUCAAGGUUGCUACAUUGGACGGAACAGCCAAUAUAAAAUUUGCUUUUUUUUAAUACUA